AGUGAACGCUGGCGGUAGGCCUAACACAUGCAAGUCGAACGGCAGCACAGUAAGAGCUUGCUCUUACGGGUGGCGAGUGGCGGACGGGUGAGGAAUACAUCGGAAUCUACUUUUUCGUGGGGGAUAACGUAGGGAAACUUACGCUAAUACCGCAUACGACCUACGGGUGAAAGCAGGGGAUCUUCGGACCUUGUGCGAUUGAAUGAGCCGAUGUCGGAUUAGCUAGUUGGCGGGGUAAAGGCCCACCAAGGCGACGAUCCGUAGCUGGUCUGAAAGGAUGAACAGCCAGACUGGCAGUGAGACACGGUCCAGACUCUUACAGGAAGCAACAGUGGAGAAUAUUGGGCAAUGGAGGAGAGCCUGAUCCAGCCAUACCGCGUAGGUGAAGAAGGACUUCGGGUUGGUAAGCCCUUAUGUUGGGAAAGAAAUGCAGCAGGUUAAUACCCCGCUGUUCUGACGGUACCCGAAGAAUAAGCACCGGCUAACUUCGUG
rnacentral:rRNA from 1 species